rnacentral:rRNA from 1 species
CCUACGGGAGGCAGCAGUGAGGAAUAUUGGUCAAUGGACGAGAGUCUGAACCAGCCAAGUAGCGUGAAGGAUGACUGCCCUAUGGGUUGUAAACUUCUUUUAUAUGGGAAUAAAAUGUUCCACGUGUGGGAUUUUGUAUGUACCAUAUGAAUAAGGAUCGGCUAACUCCGUGCCAGCAGCCGCGGUAAUACGGAGGAUCCGAGCGUUAUCCGGAUUUAUUGGGUUUAAAGGGAGCGUAGGUGGAUUGUUAAGUCAGUUGUGAAAGUUUGCGGCUCAACCGUAAAAUUGCAAUUGAUACUGGCAGUCUUGAGUACAGUUGAGGUAGGCGGAAUUCGUGGUGUAGCGGUGAAAUGCAUAGAUAUCACGCAGAACCCCGAUUGCGAAGGCAGCAUGCCGGCUUCCGACUGACGCUGAAGCACGAAAGCGUGGGGAUCGAACAGGAUUAGAUACCCCAGUAGUC